rnacentral:rRNA from 1 species
UACGAAGGGGGCUAGCGUUGCUCGGAAUCACUGGGCGUAAAGGGUGCGUAGGCGGGUCUUUAAGUCAGGGGUGAAAUCCUGGAGCUCAACUCCAGAACUGCCUUUGAUACUGAGGAUCUUGAGUUCGGGAGAGGUGAGCGGAACUGCGAGUGUAGAGGUGAAAUUCGUAGAUAUUCGCAAGAACACCAGUGGCGAAGGCGGCUCACUGGCCCGAUACUGACGCUGAGGCACGAAAGCGUGGGGAGCAAACAGGG